rnacentral:rRNA from 1 species
UACGAAGGGGGCUAGCGUUGCUCGGAAUCACUGGGCGUAAAGCGCACGUAGGCGGAUUGUUAAGUCAGGGGUGAAAUCCUGGAGCUCAACUCCAGAACUGCCUUUGAUACUGGCGAUCUCGAGUCCGGAAGAGGUGGGUGGAAUUCCUAGUGUAGAGGUGAAAUUCGUAGAUAUUAGGAAGAACACCGGUGGCGAAGGCGGCCCACUGGUCCGGUACUGACGCUGAGGUGCGAAAGCGUGGGGAGCAAACAGG